GCAGGGAUGGCCAGGGAUUAGGUUAAUUCCCGUAUAAAUUGCCCACCCCACAUUAUCCCAUCUCCUCCUCCCCACCCCUCUCCGUCGACAGCCGCCACCGCGCUCCACUUCCCCCACUUGCGCUGCGUUCUUCUCGCGUGUGAAGUCCAGGACCAGGACAAAGGAAUGGCUUCAAACAACACAAGGGGCAACGGAGAAAGGGCUACGUCCAGGUGUACUGAUGCUGAUCUAUAUGGAGGCGUCAAUGUACUUGCUGGAGACGGUUUUGAGAGCCAGGUUUACUCAAAAGAGAUACACGCUGAUGCUGUAAAGCUCAGUGUAAGAAGGGUCCGAACAAGCUUUGCCCACACAAAGAUGCCAUGUCCAGGGCUGAUGUCAUUAAGAAUGGGAGCUAUGGUGGCAUGAAAAUUGUCCACCCGUCACCAGCUGUCACUGAGGAUGUAGCGCAGAAGUAGAUCAGGAAGACCUCGGGGCCACUAUGCACAAUAUUUUUAUCAGGUGUUGUUUCCAAUGACAUCUGAAGUUAUUUGCUCCGGGGUUUCGUCAUCACGCUUGUUUGCACGGUUCCGAGUACUCCAGUUUUUGUACUGAAUGUAUGGUCUUCUAUGAGAUGACUAUCUGAAAGUGAAGUUUUUGUAAUAGUACUAUAAUGAUUCGUAUGGUCAUCUAUGACCUGACUAUUGCUAUAUAUGUGCUAUAUAUAUGACUACUGCUGAAAGCAAUAAUGUCUUUUACCA